CUGGUUUUAUUUCUCCCACCCUCUCAUCUCCAAAACGGUAGGCUUGUGCACCAAUGGAGGGGAAGGAGAGACAGGAGGAGGAGGAGGUGUUGGAGGAGGAGAGGGGGGUGUUUAACAGUCCUAAAAACCAUCUUUUCUGUCCAGUUUUAUCCGCCAUACGAGACCAGCGCGAUACUACUGUGAACUAACUUCCUGCAUGUGGGCUUUAGGUGAAACGGGAUUUCUUGGGCUGAGCGUCCGCCGCCGCUGACUGUCCAUGCGCGCUCCUCUCCUCCUCUCUCUCUGUGGAUGGUGCGUAAUAAUAUCAUCUGGAGAGGCCGAGGCCGACAUUUUACCCCGGUCCGGAGGAGCCUUAACUCCGAGGGGACAUCCGAGGACACAUAAGUUGGGGAGGCCGAGAGCUGCAGGGCUGCGUCAUGUGAAAAGGACUCGACCUCUUGACCCUCUCAACUCUCAGCUUUAGCAGCAGAACUCACUUGCUUGACGUUGUGACCGCGGACUGACACCCUCCUGCCUCGGGCAUGCCUCAGGUAAAGUAGGAACGCCGCCGAAAACUUGGCUCUCACCCAUCAGCCUCUCAGUGAUCCUGCCUGUGGUGGAUUUGUAUCUGACUCUCUCUCUCUCUCUCUCUC